CGACAAUCGAUGACCAUCGACUGGCAUGGCUGCGAUAUCUGUGGCAUAGACAGGGCCGUUGAAAUUUGGAAUAAACUGUAAAGCACAGCUGAUUACAUACAUUAGUUAUGAACUCCUCCCAGUUGGUCCGAUCCUCGCUGACCCGCUGAAAAUCCACCUUGCGCCGGCACAACACCUGCAGCAUCGCAUAAGCGGCCGUGUCAUUGGCCAGGAUCGCGACUCUGCUGGACAAGGCCUGGUUUAGAUUGCAAAUGGUGACGGCGGGAAAUGGCUCAUUUGUUAUGUACGUGAGCUCCGGAUCAAUACCCACUAUCACCGGGGUGGUGUUCCACUUGUCGAAGGCGUCAUGUAUGAGGUAGGCGGCCAUUGAGACAACCGCCAGCAUUGCGACUCCAAAAAACACUCUGCCAGCACAGGAGUAAGCUUAAUCCUCUGUAGCCAUGUGCAAAUGUGUAUGUUAUGUGGUUAUUACCUGUCGCUGGUGCGCAAUUUCCUAUUAUUGAUGUACUUCAGGCCAUGUAUGGUCGUAUUGCGACAGAACUCAUCUGUGUUCCUGGCUAGUAUGCGGCGCCACGUGGCCAUCGAUAUGUGGGUCCUCGCCUGCGGCUUGCCGCAUAACUUUGGGUAUGGCUGGCGGCUCCAGAAGAGACCCAAUUGCCGGCGACUUCGGUGUUGGCGCAUCUUCAGCCACUCUCUGAAUGAACACAUGGAACUGGCCCUGGGACACACUCUAAAGCAUGGGAAUUGUUCAACGUACAGUCUGGUGUGGCACUGAAGUUGGCAGUAAGGUGGUUUUAUUCGAAUUAUGUCAGGAUUUACGACGAGUAUUUUGUAGAAAUUAUCAUGGCUAUGCCAUGUACAUACAUAGCCCUUGGUUGGUUAUAGAUGGAAUUCGGAGCCCGAAGUCUAACAAUUGCUGAACUGUGUCGUAUGCCCUUAGUCUUUGAAAUUAAACGACUUAUUGGAAUUGUGUAAUCUUUGAGGGGCAUUUGAAUGUUCUGCUAGCCAUCCUUCCUUGUUUGAUUCUUAAUUAUGUCAGUCUCUGAGCUUUUGCUGGUGGUGGUGUUUAUUUGUAAUAGGUGAAUUGAAAUCAAUAAAUUCAAUUACAAUCAGUCCUUAGGGAGUGCAGUCUUUCAAAGAGAAGAAUAA